UGAACGCUAGCUACAGGCUUAACACAUGCAAGUCGAGGGGCAGCAUGAACUUAGCUUGCUAAGUUUGAUGGCGACCGGCGCACGGGUGAGUAACACGUAUCCAACCUUCCGUUUACUCAGGGAUAGCCUUUCGAAAGAAAGAUUAAUACCUGAUAGUAUGGUGAGAUUGCAUGAUAACACCAUUAAAGAUUUAUUGGUAAACGAUGGGGAUGCGUUCCAUUAGGUAGUAGGCGGGGUAACGGCCCACCUAGCCUGCGAUGGAUAGGGGUUCUGAGAGGAAGGUCCCCCACAUUGGAACUGAGACACGGUCCAAACUCCUACGGGAGGCAGCAGUGAGGAAUAUUGGUCAAUGGGCGAGAGCCUGAACCAGCCAAGUAGCGUGAAGGAUGAAGGUCCUACGGAUUGUAAACUUCUUUUAUACGGGAAUAAAGUAUCCUACGUGUAGGAUUUUGUAUGUACCGUAUGAAUAAGCAUCGGCUAACUCCGUGCCAGCAGCCGCGGUAAUACGGAGGAUGCGAGCGUUAUCCGGAUUUAUUGGGUUUAAAGGGAGCGCAGACGGGAGAUUAAGUCAGUUGUGAAAGUUUGCGGCUCAACCGUAAAAUUGCAGUUGAUACUGGUUUCCUUGAGUGCAGUUGAGGCAGGCGGAAUUCGUGGUGUAGCGGUGAAAUGCUUAGAUAUCACGAAGAACCCCGAUUGCGAAGGCAGCUUGCUAAACUGUAACUGACGUUCAUGCUCGAAAGUGUGGGUAUCAAACAGGAUUAGAUACCCUGGUAGUCCACACGGUAAACGAUGGAUACUCGCUGUUGGCGAUAUACUGUCAGCGGCCAAGCGAAAGCAUUAAGUAUCCCACCUGGGGAGUACGCCGGCAACGGUGAAACUCA
rnacentral:rRNA from 1 species